UUUGUUUUUCAUUUCUGGCUCAACAGUUGCUUCAGUGAAGCGAGUCGAUCUAUUUUAGAACUUACCAAAGGAAUUGAAUGGAUCAGUGUAGAAAAGGCUGUAAUUCCUGGAACUCUGCAUAAGAUAGUCUUUGUGAUGUGUUUCAGGUUUUUCAGUUGCAAUAUUUUCUUUCCAUUGGCAGUGUAAGGAAUAAAGUUGUUAUUUAUCCUGGUCAUUUACAAAAGCUGUACAAAAUCCUAUUUCCUUGAGCAUAGGAAAGAAACAGGUAGCAGGGUGAUGGUUUCUUAGCUUAUAGCUGCCAUCUCCUUUCAGCCUGAACUUGAUCCCCCAAAAAAUAUUCAUCUGGCGGGGACAUUUUCUCACGGUGGCAUGUUGGAUGUUCCUGUUAGUUCUUCCUGCCCAGCGUAUGGCUAUUUGCACCCCCCCCCAGCUGUGGUAUGUCUGCUUGGAGUUUUGGGCUUUGUCUUUGCUUUCUGCUCAGAAGCGUAUCUUGAUAGUCUCAUUUUCUCUGGAAGCCCUUUUUACCACCCUCACAAUUCUUAAUGUACUUUUGUUGUCUCAACCUUUAUCUUUCCUUCCCAGUAAUCUUAUCCUAAAUUUUAUCUGCAAGCAUAUCAACAGUAUUGACUUGAUGAUUAAGAGGUGUUCUUAUGGCUUCGGAGAUGUCUGACUAGCGUCCAAAAAGAUGGUGCAUCAGUAAAAGUAGUCUGAUGGGUCAAUAAAAAAAAGGUUGUCAAAACCUCAAUCUUCACUGAAAAAGGCACGUUAGAGACAGGGCUGUAAUUCAAUUGGGAACGAGUUUCUCAACAUUGAGUGAUAGGGCCUUACUUAGGGGAUGGAAGAAUCACCAUUUCCAACAUCUGGUGCUCAUUUGUCAUGAAGGUCCCAUACUAUCUGCAUAGUUCAUUUUGGAGCUUUCCAAGCUUCUCUAGAGUACCAUUAGUUGAAAAGCUAACAUAAGUAAUUUAACUUUUUUUUUUUUUUUUUUUGCUUUAAGUUGUAUUCACAUCCGCGUUGGCUGUUCCGGAUUUAGACUGGACAGGGAAAAUACCAGAAUGGUUUGGCUGUCACUCGGAUUACCUAGCACAUAAUGAUAAAGCCAUAUGCCGUUCAGUUGUUUUGUUACCUUGAUUUUGUAAGCAUGUUUGAUGUCUUAAUCUUAUUCUUCACAAUCUCUCUGGCUCAAUAUAA